UUAGGGGUUUCUGGUUUUUCAAGAAAUGAAUUUAAUUCAUACGUCUUAUUUAGAGUUUUAUUAUUUGUUUAUUUAUUUUUAUUUGGCGUUAAGAUUGGGAGGGAUUAGCUUCUUAUUUUAUUUUUAUAAUUUUUUGUUUUUUUAGUCUUGUGGGUUUUAUAGUGAUUUUCAAUUUGAUUAUGUUAAAAUUUUAUUUGUUUUGUUCUGUUAUUUUUAUUUAUUUAAUUAUUUAUUGAAAUGUAUUCUUUAUCUUUGGUUUAUGGUUAGUAAUUAUUGUAGAAUUAGUAAAUUUGUUGUUAAAUUGUUUUAUUUGUGUUAAUUUUCUUUGAGGAACUAGGCAAAUUUCAUGUCCGCCUGUUUAACAAAAACAUCUUUUCUUGUUAGUUUUUGAAGUAUGGCCUGCCCGCUGACUUUAGUGUUGAAGGGCCGCGGUAUUUUGACCGUGCAAAGGUAGCAUAGUCAUUAGUUCUUUAAUUGUGAUCUGGUAUGAAUGGCUUGACGAGGCAUGGGCUGUCUUAAUUUUGAAUUGUUUAUUGAAUUUGGUCUUUGAGUUAAAAUUCUUAGAUGUUUUUAUGGGACGAGAAGACCCUAUAGAGUUUAACAUUUGUUAUGGUCCCCUUUCUGUUUGUGAGGGUUCACUGGGCCGUUUAAUAUGUUUUGUUGGGGUGAUGGGAGGGAUUAAUUUAA
rnacentral:rRNA from 1 species